rnacentral:rRNA from 1 species
GAUGAACGCUGGCGGCGUGCUUAACACAUGCAAGUCGAACGGAAAGGCUCCUGCUUGGAGGGGUUCUCGAGUGGCGCACGGGUGAGUAUCACGUGGGUGAACUGCCCUGCACUUCGGGAUAAGCCUGGGGGACUGGGUCUAUUACCGGAUAGGACGUUGGUUUGGAUGUCAUUGUGGAGUGAUUUUCGGUGUGGGAUGCGCUUGCGGCCUAUCCGCUUGUUGGUGGGGUAGUUGCCUACCAAGUGGGAGACGGGUAGCCGGCCCGAGAGGGGGGACGGCCUCAAUGGGACUGAGAGACGCACCAGUCGCCAACGGGAGGCAGCAGGGGGGAAUAUGGCACAAUGGGGGCAAGCCAGAGGCAGCGACGCCGCGUGCGUAAUGACGGCCUUCGGGUGGAAAACACCUUUCGCUAGGGACGAAGCGCAAGUGACGGUACCUGGAGAAGAAGCACCGGCUAACUACGUG